rnacentral:misc_RNA from 1 species
AUGAAAUUGUGAUGGGAGUUGAUGCUGGCAGCUUGGCUGCAUGUGCUCGCUCCUAACAAUGUUCAUCCCAAACACCUGUGCACAUUUAGAGAGGGACUCGGAGUUGUGCUUGGGGUCCCUUGCUCUGAUACACACAUUAGUUAAAUAUUGAACGUGAGAGGGCUUAAUAUUAAUA